AGAACGAACGCUGGCGGCAUGCCUAACACAUGCAAGUCGAACGAGACCUUCGGGUCUAGUGGCGCACGGGUGCGUAACGCGUGGGAAUCUGCCCUUGGGUACGGAAUAACAGCUAGAAAUGACUGCUAAUACCGUAUAAUGACUUCGGUCCAAAGAUUUAUCGCCCAGGGAUGAGCCCGCGUAGGAUUAGCUUGUUGGUGAGGUAAAAGCUCACCAAGGCGACGAUCCUUAGCUGGUCUGAGAGGAUGAUCAGCCACACUGGGACUGAGACACGGCCCAGACUCCUACGGGAGGCAGUCAGGUUGGGAAUUACGUUGGACGAAGUGGGCGAAAGCCUGACUCAGCAA
rnacentral:rRNA from 1 species